rnacentral:rRNA from 1 species
AGAGUUGGAUCAUGGCUCAGGACGAACGCUGGCGGCGUGCCUAAUACAUGCAAGUCGAACGAAGCUUUCUUUCACCGAAUGCUUGCAUUCACCGAAAGAAGCUUAGUGGCGAACGGGUGAGUAACACGUAGGCAACCUGCCCAAAAGAGGGGGAUAACACUUGGAAACAGGUGCUAAUACCGCAUAACCAUGAACACCGCAUGAUGUUCGUGUAAAAGACGGCUUUUGCUGUCACUUUUGGAUGGGCCUGCGGCGUAUUAACUUGUUGGUGGGGUAACGGCCUACCAAGGUGAUGAUACGUAGCCGAACUGAGAGGUUGAUCGGCCACAUUGGGACUGAGACACGGCCCAAACUCCUACGGGAGGCAGCAGUAGGGAAUCUUCCACAAUGGACGAAAGUCUGAUGGAGCAACGCCGCGUGAAUGAAGAAGGCCUUCGGGUCGUAAAAUUCUGUUGUCAGAGAAGGAUGUGCGUGAGAGUAACUGUUCACGUAUUGACGGUAUCUGACCAGAAAGCCACGGCUAACUACGUGCCAGCAGCCGCGGUAAUACGUAGGUGGCAAGCGUUGUCCGGAUUUAUUGGGCGUAAAGGGAACGCAGGCGGUCUUUUAAGUCUGAUGUGAAAGCCUUCGGCUUAACCGAAGUAGUGCAUUGGAAACUGGAAGACUUGAGUGCAGAAGAGGAGGGUGGAACUCCAUGUGUAGCGGUGAAAUGCGUAGAUAUAUGGAAGAACACCAGUGGCGAAAGCGGCUCUCUGGUCUGUAACUGACGCUGAGGUUCGAAAGCGUGGGUAGCAAACAGGAUUAGAUACCCUGGUAGUCCACGCCGUAAACGAUGAGUGCUAAGUGUUGGAGGGUUUCCGCCCUUCAGUGCUGCAGCUAACGCAUUAAGCACUCCGCCUGGGGAGUACGGUCGCAAGACUGAAACUCAAAGGAAUUGACGGGGGCCCGCACAAGCGGUGGAGCAUGUGGUUUAAUUCGAAGCAACGCGAAGAACCUUACCAGGUCUUGACAUCUUCUGACAAUUCCAGAGAUGGAACGUUCCCUUCGGGGACAGAAUGACAGGUGGUGCAUGGUUGUCGUCAGCUCGUGUCGUGAGAUGUUGGGUUAAGUCCCGCAACGAGCGCAACCCUUAUUGUCAGUUGCCAUCAUUAAGUUGGGCACUCUGGCGAGACUGCCGGUGACAAACCGGAGGAAGGUGGGGAUGACAUCAAAUCAUCAUGCCCCUUAUGACCUGGGCUACACACGUGCUACAAUGGACGGUACAACGAGUCGCUAACUCGCGAGGGCAAGCUAAUCUCUUAAAGCCGUUCUCAGUUCGGAUUGCAGGCUGCAACUCGCCUGCAUGAAGUCGGAAUCGCUAGUAACCGCGAAUCAGCAUGUCGCGGUGAAUACGUUCCCGGGCCUUGUACACACCGCCCGUCACACCAUGAGAGUUUGUAACACCCAAAGUCGGUGGGGUAACCUUUUGGAGCCAGCCGCCUAAGGUGGGACAGAUGAUUGGGGUGAAGUCGUAACAAGGUA